AUACUGUGAAGAAAUAUGGCAUUUGUAUGAAUAAAUUGAUUUAUAGAACACACUGAUUUUUAACAAAU
rnacentral:snoRNA from 1 species